ACACGUAGGGGGCGAGCGUUGUCCGGAAUUACUGGGCGUAAAGGGUGCGUAGGCGGUCUGUUAAGUCAGAUGUGAAAGACCUGGGCUCAACCCGGGAUGUGCAUCUGAGACUGGCGGACUUGAGUGCAGGAGAGGGAAGUGGAAUUUCUAGUGUAGCGGUGGAAUGCGUAGAUAUUAGGAAGAACACCAGUGGCGAAGGCGGCUUCCUGGACUGUAACUGACGCUGAGGCACGAAAGCGUGGGGAGCGAACAGGAUUAGAUACCCUGGUAGUCCACGCCGUAAACGAUGGAUACUAGGUGUAGGUAUCGUAGGAUAUCUGUGCCGGAGUUAACGCAAUAAGUAUCCCGCCUGGGGAGUACGGCCGCAAGGCUGAA
rnacentral:rRNA from 1 species